UACGUAGGUGGCGAGCGUUGUCCGGAUUUACUGGGCGUAAAGAGCGCGCAGGCGGUCGUACAAGUCGCGUGUGAAAGCCCCCGGCUCAACUGGGGAGGGUCACGCGAUACUGUUCGACUCGAAGGCAGGAGAGGGAAGUGGAAUUCCCGGUGUAGCGGUGAAAUGCGCAGAUAUCAGGAGGAACACCGAUGGCGAAGGCAGCUCACUGGGACGGUACUGACGCUGAGACGCGAAAGCGUGGGGAGCAAACAGG
rnacentral:rRNA from 1 species